rnacentral:pre_miRNA from 1 species
AAUAUAAGCAUUUGUUGACUUUCAGACGUCGUGUUUGAUCAUCCGUCUUAUCCAAAAAUUUUAUGAAUAUAUUAUUUAUUUUGUUACGAUUCGUUUUAUCAUUAUACUUCAAGUAUGUCUUAUUUGUUUUUAUAUUUAUAUAAUUUUUUGAAAUAAGACGGAUGGUCAAAUGUGAUGUGCGGAAACCGAUAAAUACUUAUA